GAGCAGAUGAUGAAAUUGGUAGACAUAUCACAUUCAAAAUGUGACCCUUAUAGGAUGAGGGUUCGAGCCCCUCUCUGCUCA
rnacentral:tRNA from 1 species